rnacentral:rRNA from 1 species
CUGGCUCAGGAUGAACGCUGGCGGCGUGCUUAACACAUGCAAGUCGAACGGAGUUAGAUGAAAGCUUGCUUUGACUAAACUAGUGGCGGACGGGUGAGUAACGCGUGGGUAACCUGCCUUAUACAGGGGGAUAACAGUCGGAAACGACUGCUAAUACCGCAUAAGCGCACGGAAUCGCAUGAUUCAGUGUGAAAAAGAUUUAUCGGUAUAAGAUGGACCCGCGUCUGAUUAGCUAGUUGGUGAGGUAACGGCCCACCAAGGCGACGAUCAGUAGCCGGCCUGAGAGGGUGAACGGCCACAUUGGGACUGAGACACGGCCCAAACUCCUACGGGAGGCAGCAGUGGGGAAUAUUGCACAAUGGGGGAAACCCUGAUGCAAGUGACGCCGCGUGAGUGAAGAAGUAUUUCGGUAUGUAAAGCUCUAUCAGCAGGGAAGAAAAUGACGGUACCUGACUAAGAAGCCCCGGCUAACUACGUGCCAGCAGCCGC